rnacentral:rRNA from 1 species
AUUGAACGCUGGCGGCAGGCCUAACACAUGCAAGUCGAGCGGAUGAGAGGAGCUUGCUUCUCGAUUCAGCGGCGGACGGGUGAGUAAUGCCUAGGAAUCUGCCUGGUAGUGGGGGACAACGUUUCGAAAGGAACGCUAAUACCGCAUACGUCCUACGGGAGAAAGCAGGGGACCUUCGGGCCUUGCGCUAUCAGAUGAGCCUAGGUCGGAUUAGCUAGUUGGUGAGGUAAUGGCUCACCAAGGCGACGAUCCGUAACUGGUCUGGGAGGAUGAUCAGUCACACUGGAACUGAGACACGGUCCAGACUCCUACGGGAGGAAGCAGUGGGGAAUAUUGGACAAUGGGCGAAAGCCUGAUCCAGCCAUGCCGCGUGUGUGGAGAAGGUCUUCGGAUUGUAAAGCACUUUAAGUUGGGAGGAAGGGUUGUAGAUUAAUACUCUGCAAUUUUGACGUUACCGACAGAAUAAGCACCGGCUAACUCUGUGCCAGCAGCCGCCGUAACAC